CCAGCUCUCUUUGCCUUCUGGCUUAGAUCAAGUGUAGUAUCUGUUCUUGUUCAGUUUAAUCGCUGAUAGCCCUGCACCGCAGGACUUUACUGAUUAUUCAACCUUUGGACCUCGCGACUUGGCCUCUGUGCUUGCAUAUGCCUCGUUGCACUGUGUCGCUGGGCUCACACUACCCCCGGCUGAUGCGACCACCU
rnacentral:snRNA from 1 species